rnacentral:rRNA from 1 species
AUUGAACGCUGGCGGCAGGCCUAACACAUGCAAGUCGAACGGUAACAGGAAGAAGCUUGCUUCUUUGCUGACGAGUGGCGGACGGGUGAGUAAUGUCUGGGAAACUGCCUGAUGGAGGGGGAUAACUACUGGAAACGGUAGCUAAUACCGCAUAACGUCGCAAGACCAAAGAGGGGGACCUUCGGGCCUUUUGCCAUCGGAUGUGCCCAGAUGGGAUUAGCUAGUAGGUGGGGUAACGGCUCACCUAGGCGACGAUCCCUAGCUGGUCUGAGAGGAUGACCAGCCACACUGGAACUGAGACACGGUCCAGACUCCUACGGGAGGCAGCAGUGGGGAAUAUUGCACAAUGGGCGCAAGCCUGAUGCAGCCAUGCCGCGUGUAUGAAGAAGGCCUUCGGGUUGUAAAGUACUGUCAGCGGGGAGGAAGGGAGUAAAGUUAAUACCUUUGCUCAUUGACGUUACCCGCAGAAGAAGCACCGGCUAACUCCGUG